CAUCCCCCUUAUCACGAUCGUGCCUAGGGCACGAUCGUGGAAGAAGGGGGUAAAGGGAAGGGGGACGGCGGCGGCGGCUUGGAGAGGCGACUCGCCGGAGAGAAGACGAGCGCCGGAGAGGGGAUCCGGCCGGCCGCGCUUCGGAGAAGAUUCCUCACAAACCAAGUGAAGAGCUCUCGGAUCCGUGUUUUUCAACCGAGCUCGCCACAGAUUUCUUCCUCCGAUUCCUCGCCGGAAAGGCCGCCGGAGCACUCAUCGGACGGAGAGGAAGAGUCGGCAGAGCCAGGAGGUUUUGAUCAGGGGACUCAGCACCCCAGCGCGUAGGUUGUGAUUCGGACUGUGUUUGAGUCAGUCUACAAUUUCGGUAAGAAUCCCUACAUCUGAGCACUUCUAUGCAUAUAUUGAUUUAUCGUUGGAUUUAUUUUACGGUUGUGUUGUUAUUGCUUGUGAGCUGAUAUGACACAUAUGAGAUGAAUGUUUAUCAACAUAUUUUCAUUAUUA